rnacentral:rRNA from 1 species
CCUACGGGCGGCAGCAGUGAGGGAUAUUGGUCAAUGGACGAGAGUCUGAACCAGCCAAGUAGCGUGAAGGAUGACUGCCCUAUGGGUUAUAAACUUCUUUUAUAUGGGAAUAAAAUGUUCCACGUGUGGGAUUUUGUAUGUACCAUAUGAAUAAGGAUCGGCUAACUCCGUGCCAGCAGCCGCGGUAAUACGGAGGAUCCGAGCGUUAUCCGGAUUUAUUGGGUUUAGAGGGAGCGUAGGUGGAUUGUUAAGUCAGUUGUGAAAGUUUGCGGCUCAACCGUAAAAUUGCAGUUGAAACUGGCAGUCUUGAGUACAGGAGAGGUAGGCGGAAUUCGUGGUGUAGCGGUGAAAUGCUUAGAUAUCACGAAGAACUCCGAUGGCGAAGGCAGUCUACUGGACUGCAACUGACACUGAGGCUCGAAAGUGUGGGUAGCAAACAGGAUUAGAUACCCGAGUAGUC